CCCUUAGAUGUUCUGGGCCGCACGCGUGCUACACUGAGUGGAUCAGCGGGUCAGGUUGCGCGAAAGUGUUUCCUAAUCUUUAAAUCCGCUCGUGAUGGGGAUUGACGGUUGCAAUUUUCCGUCAUGAACGAGGAAUACCUUGUAAGCGCGGGUCAUCAUCCCGCGCUGAAUACGUCCCUGCCCUUUGUACACACCGCCCGUCGCUCCUACCGAUUGAGUGGUCCGGUGAGGCUUUGGGAUCUGGGCGGAAAGAGCGUUUCGCUGUUUCUGCUCGGAAAACUCAGUCGAACCUUAUCAUUUAGAGGAAGGAGAAGUCGUAACA
rnacentral:rRNA from 1 species